UGGGUGACCUUUGUCCUUACCUCCCUUUC
rnacentral:piRNA from 1 species